rnacentral:rRNA from 1 species
UGGUGAAUAUUUCACAAUGGGGGAAACCCUGAUGCAGCGACGCCGCGUGAACGAAGAAGGUAUUCGUAUCGUAAAGUUCUGUCCUAUGGGAAGAUAAUGACAGUACCAUAGAAGAAAGCUCCGGCUAAAUACGUGCCAGCAGCCGCGGUAAUACGUAUGGAGCGAGCGUUGUCCGGAAUUAUUGGGCGUAAAGGGUACGCAGGCGGUUUAAUAAGUCGAAUGUUAAAGAUCGGGGCUCAACCCCGCAAAGCAUUGGAAACUGAUAAACUUGAGUAGUGGAGAGGAAAGUGGAAUUCCUAGUGUAGUGGUGAGAUACGUAGAUAUUAGGAGGAAUACCAGUAGCGAAGGCGACUUUCUGGACACAAACUGACGCUGAGGUACGAAAGCGUGGGGAGCAAACAGG